ensembl:lncRNA
AAGGUCUGUGGCAAGCAGACCACGUAGCUGAAGUUGCUGGGACAAGAAUGUAACAGUUAAAUCUCCUUCUCUAGAAGGCUUAACAUGAAGUUUGCUGCAUCUUCUGAGAGUCUGUUUUGACGUACAGAACAGAAAGACUUUUUUCAAAGAGGCUUUGGAGCAAAGUUAUUUUGGGUCUUGAGCUUCAAAAUCUGAAGUGCAGAGUACUGCCUCGGAAUUUGGUGGCAUUUUGUCCAAAUGCAGCAGUAGGAUCUGCAGAUGGGAUUCUCCCUGCAGGUAGCAAGUGCUUCAGCAUCUAAAGGUUUUCAAUAUAAUUCUUUUAAGAAGAGGUCCCAUGACAAGCAUCAGAAGACUUAAUGGUGUAAGAGGA